UACAGAGGUCUCAAGCGUUGUUCGGAUUCAUUGGGCGUAAAGGGUGCGUAGGCGGCGCGGUAAGUCGGGUGUGAAAUCUCGGGCUUAACUCCGAAACUGCAUUCGAUACUGCCGUGCUUGAGGACUGGAGAGGAGACUGGAAUUUACGGUGUAGCGGUGAAAUGCGUAGAUAUCGUAAGGAAGACCAGUGGCGAAGGCGGGUCUCUGGACAGUUCCUGACGCUGAGGCACG
rnacentral:rRNA from 1 species